GGUGUUCUCUGGGCGAUGUGGCGGUCCCGGGGCAGUGUCGCGUCCCGAGCAGUGUGGCGAUGGCCGGGCAGUGGGCAGGCCCCGGGCCGUGCCGGAAGCCGGAAGCGAGGCCGGGGCAGCGCCCGCCCCGCCGCGGGAGGAGCCGGGGCCGGGGCCGGGGCCGGAGCGGAGCCGAGCGGGGCGGGCGGGGCCGGAGCGGAGCGGGAGGAGCCGCCGGGCGGGAGGCGAGCGGGGGAUUUCUCCUUGGAGGCCAUGGAGCUUUCAGCCAACGAGCUCAGCAUCUAUGACAAGCUCUCUGAGACCAUUGAUCUGGUGAGGCAGACUGGCCACCAGUGUGGCAUGUCAGAAAAAGCCAUUGAGAAGUUCAUCAGGCAGCUCUUGGAAAGAAACGAGCCCCAGAGGGGCCCUCCACGGUACCCUGUCUUAGUGGCUCUCUACAAGGGCCUGCUCACCCUGGGCUUGGUGUUGCUGACUGUUUACUUGGUGAUCCAGCCCUACAACCCGCUGCCACCCGAAGCACCACUCUCCAGAGCCCAGGCCUGGGGCUCCCUCGUGGGGCACAUCCGGCUGCUGUCCCUGCCCAUUGCCAAGAAGUACAUGCUGGAGAAAUGCCAGGACUGGUGGGCAGCAGGUUGCAGACAGAACACUUCUGCACUUCCUGCAAACUGCACAGUCUGUUCUGCUGUGAAAAGCCUUCACAUAGUGACAGACUUCAGAGAGCUAUCAGAAAAGCUCCAGAGGCAUCAGCCUUUUCUAAUCAAGACAGGGCAGCAUCUCUCCUAUGAAGAACUGAAGCAUUUUCAGUCCCAGGAUCCAGAACUGGCAGAGGUUAUAAUAGAAGAAAAUUCAGCUGAAUUAUGGAGCUGCCCAUUUUUCUUUCCCUGGAACAAGUCUGUGAAUAGAUCCCGGAUUCUCCAGGAAUUUUUCCCUGCUUCCUCUUUGCUGUCCUUCCCCAAGACAGUGUCCCUGGAGAGCUGCUUCCUCAUCCGCCGCCCAGAUUUGGGGAAUAAGAGCUACAGCCUGCACAGCCUCUUUGCUGUUGGGAGUGGGCAGCUCACCCUGACUGUUGCACCUCUGGACACGUGCAGAGGACACUGUGAGGUGUUCAAGGUGGAGCUGGAAGCUGGGGAUUUGGGUUAUGCCAACACAGAUCACUGGACAAUGAGCUUCAUGGCCAGAGGGACAGAGCCAGCUGUGAUUUGUGAUGGAGCUGCCAGCUAAGGAUGCUGGGGUGGGAAAACAGAGCUGUUCCCAGGACAGGAAGACUUUCAGCUUUGAAGCCAAGGCAACGUCUUGAGAGGAGCGAGCUGGGGCAACUGGGGCAGGCAGCUUUGCCACCCUGCAUGUUUACAGUGUUUAAAAAGGACUAUUUUCCUGACCCUUGAGGUAAUCCUUUGCCUUUCCUCAAAUGUAUUUUGGGAGAAGCUCAAGCUAUUUAUGACCCUCCCUGUCCCCUCAGGUAAGCCCUGAGUUUGCAGCAAAGGGUUUUUUUUCCAGGAGCAGCAGAUGGAUUUCUCAGGAUGAGAUUCACCUUAUGUUCUGUUUGGAUUAUGGCACUUCUGAAACUUCCUGGGGGGUUUGGGAGUGGAUGGGGUGUGUGACAUUUCUGUGUACAUUCCUCCUGAGGAGGAAGCUUUGAGCCUGUGUAGUCAGGCCAGUUCUAUAAAGGGAAUGAAUUGGUGAUGUGUCCCAGCUCUCCCUCACGUCCGCAGCUGUGUGAGCCCUGCAGAGCUGACCUUGGCUCCUGCUCCCAGGCUGGGGAGAGCCUUGAGCUUGAGGGCAGAAACUCUCACCCACUGCGACCUUCUUGUACCAAAAGAAUCCCUUCUGUUGUGAUCACCCUUCUGCAGCUCUCUGUCAGCAGGUUGUGAGUGAGUCAAAUGGUAAUUGUGCUUUUCUUCACCUCCACUUCCUUUCCUGCAAAAACACUGACACGCAUCUUAGAGGUGCUGGCAAUGCAGGAGUUCUGGAUGGAGCUGGGGCUGGGAGAGAGCAGCUCUGUCCAGCUUUCACCUCAGACACCAAGGGCUGCACAGCCAUUCUCAGCUGCUCCUUGUUUUUGGAGGCACUGCCUGCGUUCCCAGCCCACGGUACCUCUGGGAGCACCUGAAACCUCCCUCUUCCCUGGCAUACUUUUGCAUUGACUCCUUCCAGACCUGGAACUCUGUCUUCAGAAUGAACGUUGGUUUUUCCUGGGUCCUUUCCAAGCUGCCUUUGCGUGUUUCCUGCUGCUGGAGCAGUGCUGUCUCCAGUGCCCUGAGAGAGGCUCGGGUUCGGGGUUUGCAGACUGCGGAUGCUCCGGUCCCUUCCAAGUCUGAUCCUUUGGGUCUGAUCCCACUGCUGAAGAUCAUUUACAGAUGUGUCAGGCUGAACUCAUAGGCCAGGGCUGGAGUUCAGGACAUACUCUCACACUUGUUAAUAUGGAGUUGGGAGGGGUUUUGGUUGACAGCGAGUUAACUCUGUUCUCAGGAGCAAGAGCCUUUUUCUCUGUAAAUAUUUUAGGUACAUGUAAAAUGACAGAUUGGGAAAAUGUCUGUCCAGCCUUUGUUUUUGAGGAGAAUGGGAGCAAACAUUGUGCUAAUCUGAUUAGGAUCUGACAAAAGCUGCCAAGUGGGAUGACCACUUCUGGCUCCUGUACAAGAAUAAGGCAGAGGACAGUUCCUGCUCCAAAGAAUUUAGUCUGAGGCCUUGACACUACAAACAUUUCUAUGCAUAACCCCUGUUUUUCUCCUGUCAAAACAAUGAGAACAAGCCCAGCACCUGUGUCAGUCUGUGCAUGGCCCUUGGUGCUGGACACACACCAGAUCUAGUAGAGCCAAAAGGGGAGAGUCUGACUCUCUCAGGAUAGAAAAGGACUAAUAUCAUUUGUUACCAAGUAUUAAAGGGAAUUGGACUAAUAGAACUUCCAUUAGUGUUCUCACUGCUUGGAAUGUAUUUCACACUCAUGACACUACAUUCAAUCUUGUACAUGCCAAGACACACACACACCACCUCUCUCCCUCCUCUUAAAGCCUGGGUCUUAGUUAAUGGAAAUUUGGGAGUUCAGUGACGGCAGAAUUAGGGCCUCAUUAGUGACUGUUGCUAUUUACACUUUGGCAGCUUCUCAAAUCAAAUUCAAAGGCUGACCAGGUUACUUCACCUCUUACUGCUUUUGUAUCUGACCCCUUUUUGUAAAGCACUUGCUCAAAGAUGCUGCUGGAGCCAUUCUUGCUGAGAUUGGGUGACACUGUCACUGCUAAGUGUCCUUGACUGUAACUUGUAAAAGAGCUGCGGAGACAAUUCCCAAGUGUCUGAAAUGCCUGGAUUUUGAGAGUCACACUUAAGCCAUUGUGGCUGUCUGGCUCUUUCAGGAAGAAGCAGAGAAAAUGGAUCUAUUUACAGUUGCUGUUUGGACUGGGGGGAGGAGGGGGAGGAGGGGGCAGGUUUGUGCCUGUUUAGCAGAAAUGUUCUCACGUAGUGCUUCUCCCUUCCUCGAAGAGUUGCAGUCUUCCUCGAAGAGUUGCAGCUGGUUGGACAGGAGCUGGUGAGUCUGGCCUGUUUGCAGAGCAGCCUUCCAAGUGCACUUUAUGGGCUCUGCAUAAGUUUCCAGCUCUGUCUCAGCAAUACAUUGCUUAUGUCCCAGCCCCGCUCCCUUCGGAGCUUACAUCAUUUGUUUUUAAGCUCUCCUGUAUAUUUUCUCUUCCUCUUCCAAAGGCUGUAAGGAAUUAGCUGCUAAACUAAAACAGGAGGACAGUUCUCCUGCUGAUAAAGAGUCAAUUUUGGCCGAAGUGCCGAGGCCCAGUCGGCAGCACAGCUUCCAGAGCAGCUUCUGUCUCCAGCUGCCAGAGGAGUGGUGCUCACACCUUCCACAUCCCAGGGCAGGCAAGGAGCCACGGUGGGAAACCUGGAGGUGAGGCCACAAUGGCAGAACUGGGGGAGGUUUUGAUACCUUUUCUGCAAUUUAGCCCUGGUUGUCUUCCACAUGCAGAGCUCCAGCUUCACAGAGUCCCUGGAAAAGGCUGCAGGACUUCCCUAGAGAGGCUGGUGGUCCUAGUGGCCUGCUGAGAUGGAACAGGGCUGUUCCUGCAGCUAUUGAGGUUUCACAGCAUGAUCACAUGAGUCCCAGAGGGGGUGUCCCACCAUGGUCUCCCUCACCUCAGCUCCCCUUUUGCACUCUCUGUGCUGCUUUGGACAAUCUCCCACUCCCCCUGUGCCCAGCUCACACAAGUUCCCAGUUAACACAUUUUAAAAUCCCUUUGUGUGCUUCAGAGCCCAUUGCCUGUGAGCUGGGAGAUGGAUUCCUCCUCACCCCACAUCCCAAAGGCUGCAAAGCUGCUCUGAAAUCACACCAGAAAUCGGUACUACCCACGUGCCCAGAGGAGCAGGCACCUCUGCACUUGCCAGGCUGGAAAGAUGGGCUGUCCCCAUCAGCUGGGCAGGAGGAUCGUGGUUUAAAGCUGCUCCCCAAAGCAGGGGUCACUGACCAGUGCUGUCAGUCAGUCCUGAACUCAGGGUAACUGAAAGGAGGAGAAAGGAUUAUUGUGAUUUACUUCAGUACCAGGAAAUCAGCGGCCCCCACGGGAGCCAACCUGGCAGUUUCUAUUGAUUCCUAUUUUUGCUUUCUUUGUUCCUUUUCAUUUUUUUCCCUGCCCACUGUUAUUGCACACAUUGAUUCCCCUGAGGGAUCUCUUUGCAAGGCCCUGGAGAGCUUUGAGUCAGAUUCCCCAUGAGUCUCCAGACUGCAGCUUCUCCCACCAGGCCUCUUUUGGCAAUGUUCUGGAGGAGAAGCUGGUUUGUCUGGGCUGGAUCAAAGCACCUCCCUUCCUUCAUGGCCUCCUGGGCUCCAGCAGCAGGAGGAGGAGGAGGAGGUGGGGAGCUGGAGAGCAUCUCAUGGUAGAGAUGUGAGCUCUAUAAACACCAGUGUCUCAGAAAAGGGGAUCCUUCUGCCUUGAAGCCCUCUUGUUCCCUCCCUUCAGGAGGGAAGUUUCCACACACCCCAAUCCCAGGUCCUCGUUCAGCCCCGUGGUCCCCAGGAGAAUUGAACAUUUCCUGGGUGAGGCCAUUUUGAUGGGUGCAUAAAGAGUUUUUGCUUCCUGCAAACCAAACUUUCUCCUCUUGGUAAAUUUUAUAGGUAGAACUCGAUAUCCUCCUCUUCAGGAGCCUCCUCCUUGUAAAGGGCAGAUUUAGUGUCCUGCUGAGUUAGACAAGGGAGAUGCUGGACUUCCCUUUGCUUUGGAGAGUCAAACAAAUGGCAGCAACAAUCUCCAUCUUUCCUUCACAAUCCAGUUGAUUGUAGCCAAACUUUGAGGCGUGGAAGACGAUAAACUCCUCCAGAGCUCAUAAAUCCAGGCGAGUAGGGAGAAAAGAGAGAGAUCCUGUUACUCCCACAGCAGUGCAGGAGCCUGUUAGACACCGGCCAGCCCCACUGGAGACCCUCGAGAUGGCACCUGUGAGGAGGAGGAAGCUGAUGAGGUUUUCUCUGGGCAGCUGGAAGUAGCCUCAUGCUCAGAGGUCCUGAUUCUCCUGGGGAGCUUCAACCAUCCUGAUAUUUUUUGGAGAGAUAACACAGCCCUGCACAGGCUGGAAGUCCAGGAAGUUCCUGCAGGUCAUUGAAAAUAACUUUUUGAUACAAGUGGUGGAGGAGCCAAGGAGGAGAGCCGUUGGGUGUUCCUGGCUCUUGGGAGGUGCUUUAAAUCUGACUGCCAGAGCUGUGAGCUGCUGAGAGCAGAAGCUGCCUGCACGAUGCUGAGCUCAGGUCUUCUUCCCAUUCUCCUGGUGCUCUCAGUGCUGGAGCUGAGCUGGUGCCUGAGUGAUGAAGAGAAGAUCAUCAUCUUGGAUGAGCAUAAUAAAUAUCGCUCCCAGGUGUCUCCUCCUGCCAAGGCUAUGAUGAAGAUGACCUGGGACACCGACCUGGAGGUUGAUGCUCAAAUGCAAGCAGAGAAGUGCAAGUGGGGCCAGAACGGGGGCCCAGGCAGGUUUAACCUCUUUGCUACAGCUUCAACCCUGGAUGUAAAAUUGGCCAUUGAAGAAUGGAACAGGGAGAGGAAAUUCUACAGCUUGACAACAUCCAAGUGUGCCCCCAUGCAGUCGUGUGACAACUAUGUCCAGGUGGUCUGGGCAAAAACAACUCGCGUUGGCUGUGGGAGCAAUUAUUGUGAGAAGAUUGAUGGAAUGGAAGGAGGGAACAUGCACCACCUGCUUGUCUGCAACUAUUAUCCCCCGAGCGAGAUAAAUAAAAAUAAGGCCUACUGGGAAGGACCCUCGUGUGAAAUGUGUCCCGCAGGCACAGUCUGUGAGAACAACCUGUGUGCAAAUCCGGAGACCAACUCAAACCAGACAAGUGUGGAUCCGCCCAAAGGAGGAGCCCCCAGGACCUGCUUGGGCUUUUCACUCUUCCUCCUGCCCAGUGCCAUCCUGGUGGGCCUUCUGCUCUGAAGGGUCUUCCUCAGCUGUCGCUGCACCCCUCACCAAGGCUUUUGUCAGGGCUGGUUGUUCCAGAGCCCUGGCAGGCUCAGGAGCUCCUUGGACAAUUCACACACUCCCUCCUUACGCUGCCUUCUCUGCUGCAGCCCCAGCAAGCCAAGGGCAGCUGGCAGUGCUGGGGGAACUUUGUCCCCUUCCUGAGGAGACCUGAGGGCAGGAGGGUGUUUGCCAUAAUGCUGGUGACCUUGGAUGCUUCUCCUUUUUUCUGGCUUCUGUUCCAUUUCCAGGCUGGAAGUGUUGAGCUCUCCCACACACCCACAAACCCAUAUGGCCGGCAGGCCCUGCCACAGCCUGACCCUGGGACAGCAGAGUGACUUGGGGACAACGAGACAUGGUGGUUGGCUUUGGUAUUUGUCAGGAUGAGUGCACAGCAGAAAUGCUCUUUUCCCACCAAAUGUUUCUUUCAGUUUGGGACAUAUUUUAUCUCUUUCCUAUUUUAUCCAAAUCGAGUGGCUGUUUUGAGGAUUUGUUUCCUCCUGGUUCUGGUGAAGCUCUGGCCAGUACUGCCCAGCUGUUCUCCCCUCUCCUCCUCACACUCUGCAGCCCUUGCCUCCUCCCUCUCUCCUCCUCCCUCUCUCUUGCUCUCUGGCACAUAUCACGUUCCCCAGUCACUCCAGUGCCACAGGUUAAUUUUCAUGUGUGCUUGCACCUGUGUGCACACAGAAGAGAAACCUUCAGAGCUGAGAGAGGCCACCAGCUCCUUCAUGUAGCUUUUCCCUGCAUGGCUUCAUUGCAUAAUUUCAGUGUAUUUGAAUUUAAAUACAGACCCUGCUUGAUGUGUAA